GCACCGGGGAAGAAAAGCCUCCCUAGGACUUGCCUCAUGUCGACGGCACCUCAGGUGCCCAGUGAACAGCGCUUUCUCCACGCCGCGAGCCUGGUGCAGGAGAGCGCAGCGCCGGCACCUGGAAGAUCACGUCUGGCGCAAGCGGCCCCACUGGCGAGUCUGCCGGGUGGGCUGCUGGCACCGAGACGUCGAGCCUCCGGGCUCGCUCUGCGCGGGCUGCUAGGAGCACACACACCCGAUAGGCGUCCGCGCGGAUUUGGUGACGGGGAUCAGGUCACACCGAGGAGGACCUCGUCUGCAAUCGCAGGAGGUGAAGACCCACCCCCAGAAAGGGGUCGGGUGGUCACGCUAUCACGGUCCCUCCCUCCCUGCGUCCUGACGCAGAGGGGACGGUCAGCGUCCGCGUCGGCAGGAUCACGCUCCCAGAUGGGGGGUUGGGAUUGAUCUCGGCCUCUCACCGCUCACUACCCGUAGGCCGCGCUCUGCUCUCCUCGGGGUGCCCCCAGACCCAUUGGUAGGAAGGGCGCCCCCCAGUGGUUCGAUGUCUUGGCCCCCAAACAGACGGCCGCAUGCCCCCCAGAGCGGGGGCGCAGCCCUGGGGGGCGUGGGCGCACGGCCGACACCACUUCACGGAGCAGAGUUCCAACCCCAAGAUGGGGACUUCCCUGGCGGUCCAGUGGUGAAGAAUUCGCGCUUCCAUCGCUGGGGCGCGGGUUCCCUGCUCGGGGAACUAAGAUCCAGCAUGCCCCACGGCGCAGCCAAAAACAAACAAGCAAAACCAAAAAAAAGAGAGAGAAAAGGUAAAACACGCCGAAAAAAUACCGAGAUGAUCGGGCCACUUUGAGUCCUUGCUUCCCCCGAGGCCGCAGCAGGUGCACCACCGUCUGCUCCCUGGCCUCCCUCUUCGCCGCUGAUGGGGUCCUCCUCCUCGGCCACCCUUCUUCCCUCCGUGUUUCCAGGGUUCUCUGUUCAGCCCACUCCUCUCAUCCCCUCUCUACCACCAGGACGCUCUUGACUCUCAGCUAUGCCUCGCAAGCCCUGGACCUCCCUCUCGAGCUUUAUGCCUGAACAACAUGUACAUCUUGUACAAAUUUUGUUAGAUUUAUCCCCCAAUAUGUCAGUUUUUUUGGUGCUAAUGUAAAUGAUACUAGGUCUUUAAUCCUAACACUGUUUUAUGUGUACCUUUUCUUGCUUUUCUUGAUAGUCUUGCCCCAGGUUUGACAUUUUAUAGUCUUUUCAUUACCAAUUUUUGUUUUAUACAUCACUAAUUUCUCCACCUUAUUUGUUCUUUUACUUUUUGCUGUUGUUUUUUAGUUUGUUACAAUGGAUGCUUAGGUCAUCAAUUUUCAGUCUUUCAUGUAGAAUUUUUUUUUUUAAAUAUUUAUUUGUUUGCACCAGGUCUUAGUUGUGCAGGCGGGCUCCCUAGUUGUAGCUCCAGGGCUCCUUAGUUGCGGCUCGCUGGCUCCUUAGUCACGGUAUGUGGGCUCCUUAGUUGUGGCAUGUGAACUCUUAGUUGCGGCACGCAUGUGGGAUCUAGUUCUCUGACCAGGGAUCGAACCUGGGCCCUCUGCAUUGGGAGUGCAGAGUCUUAUCCACUGCGCCACCAGGGAAGUCCCUCAUGUAGAAUUUUUAUCAUUCAGUUAGAAGUAUUUCCUAAUUUUCAUUGUAAUUUCUUCUUUGGUCUAUACUGUAUUUGGAAAUGUAUUCUUAUAAUUUCCAAGCAUUUGUAUAUUUCUAGGAUUUUGUUAUAAUUUCUAGUUAAUUUUUCUGUGUUCAAAUAAUCCAAUUUAUGAUAUAGAUCCAUAGAAAUUUGUUGACAUGAUUUACAUGUGCUCAAUUUCAUAAAUAUUUCAGAGUGUGCUUGAAAGGAGGGCAUAUUCUCCAAAUCUUGGAUGCAGUAACAUCUAUAUCUCCACUAAGUUAAUUUUAUUGUUUUGUUCACAUCUUCUAUAUCCUUAAUCUUCUCAUGUGUGCGUUAUUUAUCAGUUACUGAGAGACAUGAACUUCUCUUUGUAGUUCCAUCAAUUUUGGGUUCUGUAUUUCAAGGUAAUGUUACUAGGUUCAUAUUCUGAAAUUACAUUUUUUGUGAAUUGAACCAUUGUAAUUACUGACAUAUUUGGAUUUAAAUCUACUAUAUUAUUUGUGAUUUUCCAUUUGUUGUGCUUUUCCUUUUUCUUUUCCCUCCUUGCCCUCAUUUUAUUAGCUUUUAUUAAGCAUUCUGCUUUUUUCCUAGUAAUUUGGAAGUUAUACAUUCUAUUUCUGGAGUUUAAAUCAUUACCCUAAAAAAUUAUAACAUGAAAACUUAGGUCAUCAAAGUCUGGCGCUCAUCGGUACUUUUUUACCCUAAUCCUGAAAAUAGGACCUAGAAAUCUAUCACUUUUUUAAUUCAUAUACUUUAUUAUGUGUUAAAAUUCAGUAAAAUAUUAUUAUUGUUGUUGUUUAUACAUUUUCUUGCUCUUCAUUCUGGUCACUGCUCCUGCCUCAAGUAUGUUUUGUGGACUUGCCCUUAGAGAGGGUCAUCUACUUCGGGUCGGAUUUCCUAGUUUUUCUUUUUCUUGUCCUUAAAGGAAAUUUUCUUUGGUCACCAUAUUCCAGUUUGCUGAUACUGCUUUUUUCCCUCAUCAUAUUGAAGAUAUUAUUUCACUGUCUCCUGUCUUUCAACGUUACUAUCUCACCAGCUGUUGGUUUUUCAAGGUUACCAGGUUUUCCCUUUGGGUUGCUUUUAAUAGAUUGUUCUUGUCUCUGCUAUGUACACUCUGACUAUGUGUACAUAGUCAGAGUACAUUUCUUAUUGUUUAAUCUCCUGGUGCUUGUUGGUUCUCUGGAAUCUGUGGGCUGCUACCUUCUGUCAGCUCUGGGGCAGUCCUGGCUGUCAUGCCUCCUCCCCUUGCUCCUUCCCAGGUCCUCCUGGAGCUCCUGUUAGACAGCCAUCCUGGUCUCCUCAGUCCACCUCCUUCAUAUCUCUUGGCCUCUGUGUCAUGUACUCCCAUCUGCCCCAGAUCCCCCCAUGUUCUUUCUCUGCCCCACACGGUGUCCAGGAAGUGACCCUACAGGCUGGUCACCUCUGCUCUGCUGCACUCUGGCCACUGGGCUAGGUCAAAGGUCAAAGGGAGGGCCCAGCAGCAGUGAGCAGGAGAGGCUGCCCUGGUACCUUUUUCCCUCACCUGCCCUCCAGCCUGAGGUUUGGGCAUCACUGCCUAAGACAGAUGAUCAGAAAAGGGCUUGUUGCUGGUUCCUUAAGUGUUUGGUUAGAAGUUCAAGUUUUCUUGUUCAUAUAGUAUUUUGAAAUUAUCUUAUGUGCAAUGUCUGAAUUACUGAUUGAACAUACACUUACGGGGAAACUGCUUCAGAGGCUUACGGGGUGGACAUCAGUACCAUUUGCAAAUAACUCUGUUUCUUCCCACUUUCUUGUACAUCCUGUCCCAUGUGACUCUUUCCAGUCGAUGAAUUGAGGCUGAAACAUGUCGUUGUCAUACUCUCUCUUUUCCCCAGUGUAGCAGCUGGCACUAUUUGCUGAGGAAGGCUGGCUCCCACAGUGACCAUCCAGGACACAGUCCCCUGUGACUUAGGGUGGGCAUGGUUCACAAGAGAAAAACAAUGUGAUGCUGAGAUUCGGGGCUGUUUGUUACCACAGCAUCACCUAGACUAUACAGACUGAUAAGUUAAUAUUAUGCUUUUAACUCAAAUAGUGGUGAAGACAGGUAGCUUGCUAUCACUACAAAAGUUAGUCACAGGGCUGGCAUGGGCACUUUAAACUUCCUCUCUCUGGAAAACUGAGAUUGUUAGAACAUCAUGCUUUCCUCAUGCAGAACUUCAUAGUCAAUAAUUAAACUGCUGACAGGACCAUAACAUUGUCAGAAUCUAUAUUCUUGCUGCUUUUACCCUGAGGGGUGGCCAGCACAGCCAGCUGCUCAGCCAGCUUUCCUGAACACCAAGAAGUCAGGUGCCUCUUGCAACAUGAGCCUUGUGAGUCUUUUUGGGUGUCGCACACUAUGUUCAUCUUAAGAGAUUCUGCCUGUAGAUAUUUAGAAUCAUUGGCAAACUCAUCAUAGAAACAUAAGUACACAGAUUAUAAACCUUUUAUUAUCACCCUUUAUUUGCUCUUAGAAAACAGGUUGCAAGAUUUUCAUCAAACCUAAAGGUCCUUUUGGGACCUGUAAAAUGGAAAGAGUGUUUUCAGCAGUGUGUUCAUGCAAUAGGAUGAUUCAUAUACUGGUGCUGUAAUUAAUGCAUGGAACUGUCCCUUAUCAACGGCUGCUAGCGUGAGCAAGGGUGUCAGCUCAUCAGCACAGCAGCAAAUGUCCUGCCUGUCUGUUGUGUUCGAGUGACAGGAGCAGCACAAUUUUGCAGAAGAAACCCUACCCAUGUACACGCACGAUUAGCGCUUCUGGGGGAUUAUUUCCAGCAUAUUCCAUCAUGCACCUCCAGUUGAAACCCAAAAAAGUAAGAACUCUGAGGAAGUGAAGAGCAAAGUUACCCUUAGAAGGUAAUGCAAUAGGAAAAGUGGCUUUGGAGUUCAACUGCCCUGGGCUCCACUUCCAACUGUGCCACCCGGCAGCUGUGUGACAAGGAGCAAACUCCUUCACUUCUCCAAAAGCAGUGUUCUCAUCUGUCAAACAGAGACAGUCGUGGCCACCUCAUUGAGCUACUGUGAGAAAUAAACAGUCACCUGGCAUGUAGCAGAGGUUCCCUGCACCGUAGUUAUUACGUCAGGUCCAGUGAGCACUUAUGAACAGAACCAAAAUUCAGGGGCUAUUAUUGUAACUAAGCAUUUAGUAAGUACGUAAAGAACACUACUACUAGGACUCGGCGCUUUCACUGCUAUGGUCCAGAUUCAAUCCUUGGUCGGGGAACUAAGAUCCAGUAAGCCUCGCAGUGCGGCCAAAACCCAGAACAAAACAAAACAAAAAAACACUACUACUAAUGAUAGAGGAUCUUUCCGCAUAGUUGCUGGGCCCCAGGCUCUAUGAUAAACAUUCUACACUUAUCAUCUUCACACUAACCCUAUUCUGUGGGCAUUAUUAUUACCCCCAAUUUACAAAGGAGAACACUAAGGCUUAGUGAAAUAAAGAGAUUUUCCCAAGAUCACAUGGGGCAGAGAAAGGUCUCGAAAAAAAGCCCACUCUUGCACUAUUAUGUAGCUCUGAAGAGAUGCCCAGUUGCUACUUUUUUUUUUUUUUUUUUUUUUUUUGCGGUACGCGGGCCUCUCACUGUCGCGGCCUCUCCCGUUGCGGAGCAUGGGCUCCGGACGCGCAGGCUCAGCGGCCAUGGCUCACCGGCCCAGCCGCUCCGCGGCAUGUGGGAUCUUCCCAGACCGGGGCACGAACCCGUGUCCCCUGCAUCGGCAGGUGGACUCUCAACCACUGCGCCAGUUGCUCCCAGUUGCUCCCAGUUGCUACUUUUGAGGAUGUCUCUAAUGCUGCUACUGCCCUCCAUGGAAUGAGGGCAUAUCCUUGUUGGAGUCAUAUCUCUGUGAAAUUAAGAUGACAUCUGUCCCAUAGCUACAUUUAAGAUUCCACAAGACUGACAGAGUUGGGUUGACAGACACUGUUAAAUUAGUAAAAUCCACUUGCUAAGUGUUAUGGACCAAAUGUUUGUGUCCCCCCAGAAUUCAUAUGUUGAAGCCGCAAUCCCCAAUCUCAUGGAGUUAGGAUGUGGGGCCUUUGGGAGGUGAUUAGGAUUAGUUGAGGUCAGGAGGGUGGAGCCUCCAUUAUGGGGUUAGUAUCCUUAUAAGAAGAGGAAGACACCAAAGUUUCCUCACACCACCAAGUGAGGACACAGCAAGAAGGUGCUGUCUGCGAACUCAGCAGAAUGUGACCGUGACAGCACCUUGAUCUUGGGAUUCCAGCCUCCAGAACUAUGGGAAAUAAACAUCUGUUGUUUAAA